AACGAACGCUGGCGGCAUGCCUAACACAUGCAAGUCGAACGAGACCUUCGGGUCUAGUGGCGCACGGGUGCGUAACGCGUGGGAACCUGCCCUUAGGUUCGGAAUAACUCCCCGAAAGGGGUGCUAAUACCGGAUAAUGUCUUCGGACCAAAGAUUUAUCGCCUUUGGAUGGGCCCGCGUUGGAUUAGCUAGUUGGUAGGGUAAAAGCCUACCAAGGCGACGAUCCAUAGCUGGUCUGAGAGGAUGAUCAGCCACACUGGGACUGAGACACGGCCCAGACUCCUACGGGAGGCAGCAGUGGGGAAUAUUGGACAAGGGGCGAAAGCCUGAUCCAGCAAUGCCGCGGGAGUGAUGAAGGCCUUAGGGUUGUAAAGCUCUUUUAGCCGGGAUGAUAAUGACAGUACCGGGAGAAUAAGCUCCGGCUAACUCCGUG
rnacentral:rRNA from 1 species